UACGAAGGGGGCUAGCGUUGUUCGGAAUUACUGGGCGUAAAGGGCGCGUAGGCGGUGUGUCAAGUCAGGCGUGAAAGCCCCGGGCUCAACCUGGGAACCGCGCUUGAGACUGGCACGCUCGAGUCCGGGAGAGGAUGGUGGAAUUCCCAGUGUAGAGGUGAAAUUCGUAGAUAUUGGGAAGAACACUGAUGGCGAAGGCAGCCAUCUGGACCGACACUGACGCUGAGGCGCGAAAGCGUGGGGAGCAAACAGG
rnacentral:rRNA from 1 species